GCGCGGUUAGCUCAGAUGGGAGAGCGCGUGAUUGACGUUCACGAGGUCAGAGGUUCGAUCCCUCUACCGCGCA
rnacentral:tRNA from 1 species